GACGAACGCUGGCGGCGUGCUUAACACAUGCAAGUCGAACGGAAAGGCCCUGCUUUUGUGGGGUGCUCGAGUGGCGAACGGGUGAGUAACACGUGAGUAACCUGCCCUUGACUUUGGGAUAACUUCAGGAAACUGGGGCUAAUACCGGAUAGGAGCUCCUGCUGCAUGGUGGGGGUUGGAAAGUUUCGGCGGUUGGGGAUGGACUCGCGGCUUAUCAGCUUGUUGGUGGGGUAGUGGCUUACCAAGGCUUUGACGGGUAGCCGGCCUGAGAGGGUGAACGGCCACAUUGGGACUGAGAUACGGCCCAGACUCCUACGGGAGGCAGCAGUGGGGAAUAUUGCACAAUGGGCGGAAGCCUGAUGCAGCAACGCCGCGUGCGGGAUGACGGCCUUCGGGUCGUAAACCGCUUUCGCCUGUGACGAAGCGUGAGUGACGGUAAUGGGAAAAGAAGCACCGGCUAACUACGUG
rnacentral:rRNA from 1 species